rnacentral:rRNA from 1 species
AUUCCAGCUCCAAUAGCGAAUACUAAUUCUGCUGCAGUUAAAAAGCUCGUAGUUGAACUUCUGGUAGGACAGAUCCGGCCUUUGGAUGAAUGUCCAUUGUAUGCUGUGUGUCUUGUCUGGCCAUCCUUUAUGUCUUUUAGGCGUAAUCUUUCACUGUAAAAAAAUUAGGGUGUUUCAAGCAAAAGUUAUUUGGAAUAUAUUAGUAUGGGAUGAUAAGAUAGGCUCUUGAGUGCUACUUUGUUGGUUUAUACACUUAGAGAAUGAUUAACAGGGACAGUCAGGGGCACUCGUAUUCCGCCGAGAGAGGUGAAAUUCUCAGACCAGCGGAAGACGAACCACUGCGAAGGCAUUUGCCAGGGAUGUUUUCAUUA